CGGUGGAUUUGGGUUCCACUUCAACCACUGGCGAGGGAGGUUUAGCAAUUUCUUUCACAGUGUUGUUCUCCACCAGAACACUCCCGCUUCGAUCACCGGCUCGACCAUUGGAAUCCAUGGACACCACCUUGAGAGCCAUCGGGCGCCGGUUCCCAGUGCCGGAGGGAGUGGAGCAAGGUCCAGAAACACCCAUCUGGGUCUGAGAAAAAAAAGAAAGACAACAAUGAAGAAAUGAGAGAUGCAAAAAAAAAAAAAAAAAAAAAGAAAAAAAAAGAAAAGGAAGAAACCCAGAUAGAAAAACAGGAAAUGGAUCAGAAUUGGAAUACCAGGAAAGAGGUUCUGUUCAAAGAGAUCAUGGUGAAAAGUGAUAGUGGUGAAAGAGGAGGGGAAAAGAGGGGUUGGGUUAGUAAGGGGUAUGAAGAGAGAGAGAGAGAGAGAGAGAGAGGAGGAGGAGGAAGGACAAUGGAAUGAGAAUGAAUGAGAUUGUUAAGGAAGAGAGGUGUGCUCCGGUUCGUGCUGAUAAAUCUGCUCUCUCCGUUUCUCACUCUUCCCCCUGAUCUGUCUCUCUCUCUACCUGGUGGUUUUUUUUUUCUUCUUUUGAGUCUA
rnacentral:lncRNA from 1 species